UAGAACAACACUGGAUCCAAGCAUGCGUGCUUUUUUGCACAAUCACGACAUCGACUCGUUGAACUUAUAAUGACACAUUCUGGAAUUCUGUAGCAGAUGCUUGUAACAUGAUUCAUCCAGUCGAUGGCUAAGAGAAUAACGAUUUAAUUGUGAUUCACCCAACAUUUCCCGAGUUGAGAAAGACUCGUCCGACUAAGUGGCUUUAUUUUAUCAUGACUCAGGAGUGUGGCAACGAACGCGAAGAAGGGUUGGUUGGUUUGAAUUAGUAGCUUUGGCUGAACAAGUCGCUAUUGGCUGAAACGAGAACGCAACCCGCAGCACGAUGGUAAAACACGCUGACUCCCGUAAAAAAAACGCGAUGUAGUGGGCGAUACUAAACCAGUAUUAAUUCAUCAUUGUGCUGUUAUAACUGGUUUGGGGAUUCUCCGAACCUCGCUACAAAAGACGCAGUACAUAAAAUCUGCCGACCGGACAGUCGUCUGUUGUGGUUAUUCCAUUAUACCACGCGGUCGGUAGCCCAGCUAUCAAUAUAAACCGGUCUUUUCCGCCGGUACCGGGCAGUGUGCGCUGAGAGACCGUGCGGACACGGCGUGCAUAAUUACACUGCUGAGGAGUGUAGUGGGGCUGCACCAGCGUCCAGCACAAGUCGGCUGAGUGACGUCUUGUUCUACCUCUGGUUGGCGAAUACAGGAGCGUCGCCAUGCUGCUGCUCUGCUUGAUAGCUGUCUUCGCAGGACGUCUUGCCUAUGGCCUACCCGGUCUGGAGUGCACUCUGCCCAGCGCCGCUCCCGGCGCCUGUGUUCUCCCCUCUGUCUGUGAUCGGCCCCAGUCGGAGUCCCCCCUCUGUCCUGAGGGGUACGUCUGCUGCGGCUCCGGCGCCGAUAUCCCACCACAAGAAGCUGGGACAGGACGCCGGCAGCGCAGGCAGGCACAGUUCCCCGGCUUUGGAGGUUUUGGAGUCCCGCAGCAACAGUUCGGGCAGCAGCAGUUUGGGCAGCAGCAGUUUGGGCCUCAGCAGUUUCAAAGAGGCGGAGGUGUAGGAGGAGGAAACGAUGUGGUGCAUGAAACCAAAUUCGUCGGAGGAAAACCGGUGAACCCUCGACUGGGGCAGGGCAAUGGUAUUAUCGGCAGCUCGCCGUACAGACAACUGGACUUCAACAGCGUCCUCCGGUUUCUACGGAGAGGAUGACGUGGAAACGGUUCAUAGACAUGAAUUACGAGAUUCUAUAUCGUCUGUCUCAGAUGAAGGUCGAUGAGGGCAUUUGAAAUGCUUACCAACCUGCCAAUAUGUCUUCGCUGGCGAAAAUUAUAUGUAUAUUACUGGUGCAAUAAACGAUAAAUGCCGAUAAAUAGUC